CGAUGUACUCGAUAUGCUCGGAUGUAGUCGAUGUACUCAAUAUACUCGAGUACAAUCGAAUAUACUAGAUAUGCUCGGAUAGAGUCGAUGUACUCGAUAUAGUCGGAUAUAGACGAUGUACUCGAAUACAAUCGAAUAUAAUCGGAUAUAGUCAAUGUACUCCAUAUACUCUGAUAUAAUUGAUGAACUCGAUAUAAUCGGAUAUAGGCGAUGUACUCGAUAUACUCGGAUGUAGUCGAUGUACUCAAUAUACUCG